rnacentral:rRNA from 1 species
UACGUAGGGUGCAAGCGUUAUCCGGAAUUAUUGGGCGUAAAGAGCUCGUAGGCGGUCUGUCGCGUCUGCUGUGAAAACCCGAGGCUCAACCUCGGGCCUGCAGUGGGUACGGGCAGACUAGAGUGCGGUAGGGGAGAUUGGAAUUCCUGGUGUAGCGGUGGAAUGCGCAGAUAUCAGGAGGAACACCGAUGGCGAAGGCAGCUCGCUGGGACGGUACUGACGCUGAGGCGCGAAAGCGUGGGGAGCGAACAGG